rnacentral:rRNA from 1 species
GAUGAACGCUGGCGGCGUGCCUAAUACAUGCAAGUCGAGCGAACAGACGAGGAGCUUGCUCCUCUGACGUUAGCGGCGGACGGGUGAGUAACACGUGGAUAACCUACCUAUAAGACGGGGAUAACUUCGUGAAACCGGAGCUAAUACCGGAUAAUAUAUUGAACCGCAUGGUUCAGUAGUGAAAGACGGUUUUGCUGUCACUUAUAGAUGGAUCCGCGCCGCAUUAGCUAGUUGGUAAGGUAACGGCUUACCAAGGCAACGAUGCGUAGCCGACCUGAGAGGGUGAUCAGCCACACUGGAACUGAGACACGGUCCAGACUCCUACGGGAGGCAGCAGUAGGGAAUCUUCCGCAAUGGGCGAAAGCCUGACGGAGCAACGCCGCGUGAGUGAUGAAGGUCUUCGGAUCGUAAAACUCUUUUAUUAGGGAAGAACAAAUGUGUAAGUAACUAUGCACGUUUUGACGGUACCUAAUCAGAAAGCCACGGCUAACUUCGUG